ACCUGUUCCUGAUGACUAGCUUUUGCAACAUCCUUAACAGUUACAGACCACCAUGAGCAUCAGUAAGUUCUGGACAACCAUGACCCAGACACUGGUUCACAGGAUGGCCUUCCUUGAAGCAUGUUUGGUAGGUACCGAACCGGAAGAAACUGGACAUUAAUUAAUUAAGUAAGUAAAUUUCCUUAAUGAGACCGCAGUGUUUGCACAGGUGUUUCUAUGGUGGUUCCUAUAAUGGUAUACUUUGUUUUAAUGUUUUAUAUCAGUAUACCCAAAAGUGGGUCGUGGAUUUUGUACCACAAUAACGGUGCUGCUCAUAAGAGGCGUGAGAACCCUUAUAGAACCCACUGGCAUGCAAACUGCUGCGUGUGUAAAUGAUGCUGUGCUAGUGUGUGUGUGGAUGUGGAUGGAUGGAUGCGUGGCGCCUCCUCGUGCGUAAGCAUGACACCGCGCGCGAGGUCGCGAGCGCACCGUCGUCAUUGGCCAGCCGGGCGCGCUCACGCACUCGCCGGAUUGCGACGGUAUUUGCGUCCCGUUUCCGGUGGGGCGGCGCUUUGAUCCCCCGCAGCGCGUGCUGCCGCGGUUCAGCUCGAGGACGCGUCGAUUUGGGGAUUCGAUCAGGCGCGUGAUCGAUACGCGCUCGAUUAGACGAUGGCGAGCGGAGGAGGCGGUGAAACGCGCAUGCGCGGUGGAGCAGCAUGCUGCUGCGUCUGAGCGAGGAGAGCGAGGCUCGUGACACGCAUCUUCUGCGCGUGAAGGAGACGGAGAUGAGGCUCGCGGCGGUGCGGUGAGACAUCAAAGGAUCAAAGGCCACAGUGUUUAGUCGUACUUUCCACAGCCCCCAGCGUAAUGCUACAGCAGAACAACAACAACAACUACCUGUGCCUGGACAUGGCCCACAGGGAGCUGCUGCAGGGCUGCUCCAGAACCAGCGCCCCACUCAGUUUCGGAGCCAUCGGGUUCGGCGCUAUCCCCCUGAUCAAAGGCCUGAGGGCAUGGGCCGUAAGCGGGGGCUUUACUGCCAGGAGCAGGAGGAAAUCUGCUGGAGAAAACCACAGCCAUCCGCAGCCAGACAGGCACAGAGGAUGGAAAACGAAGGAAAACCUAGCUUCGUUUCGCACUCCUGGUGCCCUGGUGACUGUGGCUACUCUGAAGGGUUCAGAGGGUGCCCGGCAGACCCAGACCCGGUGCCUCUUCCUCAAAGCAGAGGGUUGCAGUUACCUCUGCACUGUGGGAAACAACAGAGCAGCUGGACCUAGAGCUGCAGGACAACGGAUGCACCCAAAAUUAGUGGAAGGAGCAAGCCGAGGACGAAGAGUCAGUCAGGAUGACGCUGGAGUUUGCGAGGUUAAACCACAGGUCAUUCGAAAGUGGAGAAAAUCAAGCAAAGUGGGUAAAUCCACAGAGAAAAGCUCAGCGUCUGAGAGGAAAGGAGGUGUUGGGGCUAAAACAGAGUCCUUUACUUCAGAGACUGAUGCACCAAGAGAAAUUACAAGUGCCACAUCAGACUGUGCCAUAACACAAUGCCUAAAGGCAAAACACAAGCAUGCAUCGAGCACUAAACAGUCAGGAACUGUAAAUGGGGACACUGGAGUGAAUGAUCCUGACGAGAUGGCGCCUGAACCAGAGGCCACUGCUGAAACUAGUUCUGGUAUUUCUGGCAAUUCUGAGGUUUAUGUAGAGCAGGCAAUGCCCAGACCUCAUAAGGACAGCCUAGAUGCGGCCACAACUAGCAGUAAACAUAAGGGUCACCUUGUAGAAGAACCUACAAUGAACCUGAACCACAAUGCAAAAUCCAAGGGCGUACAUUUUGCCAGUGCUGUGCCAAAAUCCAAUGAUUUCAGUCCAGAAUCUGAGGAUCUUAUGCAAGUCAGCAAUUGCAGAAAUGGAGUUGCAGAGGUUGAACAGAACAUUAGCCAAAGCUAUGAAGAGUCUUGCCUCAAUAAUGCAUCCACAAAUCCAACAGAUGGUCCUCAGUUGAUCAGUGCUGAAGAAAACCAGGAGUUUAAGGCCACAGCGGAUGAAGAUUUGCCCAAAGACAGCAAUGAACUCCUUGAGGUGGUCAUUAAUUCUGAAGAAAUGAUAAAUGAAAAAGGUGAAGAUGAAGGGUUGGUCAUGGUUAACACCAACUUGGCUAAGAAUCCAAACCAAGCUACAAGUCAUGGCCAUGACCUUGGCAGUAUACUGACUGGAUCCAAGGUCACAGUGGAAAACAGCUUAAUUCAAAACGAAAAUGACCAGUCCAGUUCUAAUGAUAUGAUAGAAUAUGAUAAAGGGAAAGCCUUGGAUGUGGCUGGCAUCAAGAGGCCAGUGGAGAAUUGUGAAAGAAGACCCAAGGCCAGGAUGGACUCAGACUUAGCUGAAGGUAAGAAUGGCCAAUUUCAGGUGUCCAAAGCCAGGAUGGACCAAGACUUAGGUGAAGGUCAUCACAGCCAAUCUGAGGUGCCCAAGGCCAAGAUGGACCAUGAGUUAAUUGAAGGUGAAAAGGACCAAGCUGAGAUGGUCUUGUAUUCUCGUCAAAUGGAAAAGGAAGACAGUCCAGUGGAGAAUUCUGCUGGAGAACUGGAAAACAACCAGGCUGAGGUGGUCAUUUGUUCUAAGGAAAUGGAAAAAGAGCUGGAGACCAAGAGUCCAAUAAAGGACUGUGAUCAGGGUUUUGACGCUGUCCAAUCUCUUCAAAUACAAAAAUCUAAAGAUGAAUUAUUGGAUGAGGUCACCCCCAAGGGUCCAGUAGAGGCUCAUUGUCAGGGUCAUGAUCCCACAGAGAUGCUUGAAAAUCAAAAUGAGAACGGACAGCCUGAGAUUACUUUAUAUUCUCUUCAAAUGGAGAAAGAUGAAGCCUUGGAGAGUGCCAACAUCAGAAGUCCUCAGGAGAACCCUGGUCAGGGUCAAGUAGGACCACUGGAGGAGUGCUCUCCUCCUCAUCGAGUGCAGGAAGUAAACAGUGGUUUUGAGGAGCAGUGGUUUGCUAAAUCUCCAUCACGAGGUCCCUCCAAAGCCUCUGUUGCAGUUUCCAUCGCCUGCCUGCCUAAUCCAGCCUUCACGAGCAACUCCAACUCCACCACAGCCAUAGCAACAGCCCCCCAAGUCCUAGGCAGGCAGGAAGAGGUGGGGGCUGGCUUUACGAGCUUAGGGCCUCAGGCUGGUUCACAGCUCCUCUCAGAGCAGGAGAGAGGUCAGGACUGGAGCAAAGUGGCCACGGAAGAAAGGCGUGUGGAGGUGGGCGAGGAAGAGGAGGAUGAGUUUGGGGUCUUCAUGCAGGCCGGGGAGGAGCAGGUAUGGACGGCAGAGUUUAACAGGCUCCAACAAGUGCCUUCUGGGACACAUGCAGGCAUUGAACAUAAAACACACAUCGCUGAUGCAAACGAGCCCAUGUCCUGGACGUCUGACUGGACCGGAGUCCAGUCGUUUCACCAGUCAGACGACACAUGGGCUGCCUUUAAACAAGAGGAUGACAGCAAGGGGGCGGAGUCAGAGGUAUCAUCAGAUGGCCAAUGGUGGAGCUCGACUGCAGCGAAGAACACACAACUCUCAUUCUCAUCUCUACAUAACGUGUCUAAUGUGUUUUUAGCGGCGUUCCCCUCUGUGGACUCCUCCAGUGAAGAUGUUGACUAUGUUCCAACACUGAAGGAGCUUCUGCAGAGACCUGCUGAAAACAACAGAGCUGCAAGAUCCCAGAACCAGAGCUUGUUGGACGGCCUUCAAGACCUGGACCGGAUGAUUGAUGUGAAAUAUAAGCGGGCGGAGUCUUUGAGCCGUAAGCUCCUCCUCCAGUCGCUGCACCUGGGUACAGUCAGCUCUGAGCGCGUGUCCAGCCGCAAGCAGGCCACCUCCAGGUUUUCCCCCAACUUGCCAACGUCCAACCAGCAGCUAGCGGCUAACGCUAAAAGGAGGCUGUCUUACGACAUCAACAGGAACAUCACGGCCUAGCAUCCCAAACUAGCCCAGCUGUGGAUCUAUGCUACCCUUCAAAACUGGAGAACAACAUGAGGAUAUUCGUGUUGACCACUGUAGUUUUUUUCUCAGAAGUCUGUGCAUCUCUCAUUCUGCUCCUUUGGAUGAUUAUUGAUUUGUAGUGUUUUUCACCCAACUGCUGAUCAGCUAUAACACAGGUAUUUAAAGGAGUACUCCAGUAAAUCCACUCAUAUUGAUCUCUUUCUACUGAGAUGUUUUUGGGUAUACGGUUGAUUAACACAGACAGUGUUGUCACUGUGCUUCACUGAGCUUAGAAAAGAACAGAAACCCUGUUGAACCAAAACACAAUUACACUGCCUGACCCAAAAAAAGCUACAAAAUAACUGUAAUAUUUGGUUGGAUCGCCUUUAGCUUUGAUUGCGGCUCGUGUUCACUGUGGCAUUGUUUCAUUAAGCUUCUGCAAUGUCACAAGCAGAGGUGAAAAAGUACUGAAAAACCUUUACUUUGCUAAAAUUCUACCCAAUUAAAAGUAAAUGUACCCAUCAAAAAAUCAACUCGAGUAAAAGUAAGAAAGUACUCAAUUUAAAAUGAACUUUGAGUAAAAGUUACAUAGUUAUUUUUAUUUAUUUGAUGUAAAAAAGUACAAAAGUGGCAUCCAUUUUUUUAUACUGUUAAAGGUUAUGGUCAUAUAGGUGACUAGAAACGGUAUUUUUAUAGUUUUACAGUUCAUUAUUAUUUUUAACUUGCCGUUGCUAUGCUUUAACUUCUAUUUACAUGGUUUUUUUUUACAUCCAAGCAGAUUGUUUAAUGUUCCCAAUAAAAACUUAAGGAAUUAUUAUGAAAAACA
ensembl:lncRNA